AGGCAGAAUCCAUUCAAAGACUCUACAUGAGGGUUUUGCAGCUUCUUUUUCGUUUCAGGCCUGAGUGCCAUUACACGGUGCCCUUUUCUGAAAACGUCCAGUACCCCAUGCUGUAUGAGUGGGUGACUCCAAUCAUGAGCGUUUACAUGCGCAUGUGCCAGUUCUUGCCGCUUUGUCAUGUGUAUGAUUUUUCCCUGAAUGACUUGCUGAACCCCAGUAAGUAGC